UGUGCAACCUAGUUGUCAGAACCAGAUCGUUUGGUGGAGGAGGCAAAACACCUCCUGGCUUUAACAGUUCUCCACAGCCAUAGCAUUUUGACACUCGACUAUCAAGGUAUGGGAGUCUCGCGAAUGCGAAUGAACCGAAAUCUGGUUUCUGUCUUGCUGGACUAAACUGCUGGGCUUGCAAUUGGUAGGUUGGAAGAGGACUGGGUUGGGCUUGAUAUAUUAUUGGAUCAAUGUGUGUCGGUG